UUGAACGCUGGCGGCAGGCCUAACACAUGCAAGUCGAGCGGUAGCACAGAGAGCUUGCUCUCGGGUGACGAGCGGCGGACGGGUGAGUAAUGUCUGGGAAACUGCCUGAUGGAGGGGGAUAACUACUGGAAACGGUAGCUAAUACCGCAUAACGUCGCAAGACCAAAGUGGGGGACCUUCGGGCCUCAUGCCAUCAGAUGUGCCCAGAUGGGAUUAGCUAGUAGGUGGGGUAAUGGCUCACCUAGGCGACGAUCCCUAGCUGGUCUGAGAGGAUGACCAGCCACACUGGAACUGAGACACGGUCCAGACUCCUACGGGAGGCAGCAGUGGGGAAUAUUGCACAAUGGGCGCAAGCCUGAUGCAGCCAUGCCGCGUGUGUGAAGAAGGCCUUCGGGUUGUAAAGCACUUUCAGCGGGGAGGAAGGCGAUAAGGUUAAUAACCUUGUCGAUUGACGUUACCCGCAGAAGAAGCACCGGCUAACUCCGUGCCAGCAGCCGCGGUAAUACGGAGGGUGCAAGCGUUAAUCGGAAUUACUGGGCGUAAAGCGCACGCAGGCAGUCUGUCAAGUCGGAUGUGAAAUCCCCGGGCUCAACCUGGGAACUGCAUUCGAAACUGGCAGGCUAGAGUCUUGUAGAGGGGGGUAGAAUUCCAGGUGUAGCGGUGAAAUGCGUAGAGAUCUGGAGGAAUACCGGUGGCGAAGGCGGCCCCCUGGACAAAGACUGACGCUCAGGUGCGAAAGCGUGGGGAGCAAACAGGAUUAGAUACCCUGGUAGUCCACGCCGUAAACGAUGUCGAUUUGGAGGUUGUGCCCUUGAGGCGUGGCUUCCGGAGCUAACGCGUUAAAUCGACCGCCUGGGGAGUACGGCCGCAAGGUUAAAACUCAAAUGAAUUGACGGGGGCCCGCACAAGCGGUGGAGCAUGUGGUUUAAUUCGAUGCAACGCGAAGAACCUUACCUGGUCUUGACAUCCACAGAACUUUCCAGAGAUGGAUUGGUGCCUUCGGGAACUGUGAGACAGGUGCUGCAUGGCUGUCGUCAGCUCGUGUUGUGAAAUGUUGGGUUAAGUCCCGCAACGAGCGCAACCCUUAUCCUUUGUUGCCAGCGGUUAGGCCGGGAACUCAAAGGAGACUGCCAGUGAUAAACUGGAGGAAGGUGGGGAUGACGUCAAGUCAUCAUGGCCCUUACGACCAGGGCUACACACGUGCUACAAUGGCAUAUACAAAGAGAAGCGACCUCGCGAGAGCAAGCGGACCUCAUAAAGUAUGUCGUAGUCCGGAUUGGAGUCUGCAACUCGACUCCAUGAAGUCGGAAUCGCUAGUAAUCGUAGAUCAGAAUGCUACGGUGAAUACGUUCCCGGGCCUUGUACACACCGCCCGUCACACCAUGGGAGUGGGUUGCAAAAGAAGUAGGUAGCUUAACCUUCGGGAGGGCGCUUACCACUUUGUGAUUCAUGACUGGGGUG
rnacentral:rRNA from 1 species